rnacentral:rRNA from 1 species
AUACGGAGGAUCCGAGCGUUAUCCGGAUUUAUUGGGUUUAAAGGGUGCGCAGGCGGGAGAUUAAGUCGGUGGUGAAAUUUUGCAGCUCAACUGUAACAGGGCCGUUGAUACUGGUUUCCUUGAGGGUGGAUGAAGUAGGCGGAAUUUGUGGGGUAGCGGUGAAAUGCAUAGAUAUCACGAGGAACUCCGAUAGCGUAGGCAGCUUACUAAACCAUAACUGACGCUCAUGCACGAAGGCGUGGGGAUCAAACAGGAUUAGAUUCCCUGGUAGUCCACGCGGUAAACGAUGAUUACUGGCUGGUUGCGAUACACUGUAAGCGGCCCAGCGAAAGCGUUAAGUAAUCCACCUGGGGAGUACGUUCGCAAGAAUGAAACUCAAAGGAAUUGACGGGG